GGAAUAUUGGGCAAUGGGCGCAAGCCUGACCCAGCAACGCCGCGUGAAGGAAGAAGGCUUUCGGGUUGUAAACUUCUUUUAAGAGGGAAGAGCAGAAGACGGUACCUCUUGAAUAAGCCACGGCUAACUACGUGCCAGCAGCCGCGGUAAUACGUAGGUGGCAAGCGUUGUCCGGAAUUACUGGGUGUAAAGGGAGCGCAGGCGGGAAGCCAAGUCAGCUGUGAAAACUACGGGCUUAACCUGUAGACUGCAGUUGAAACUGGUUUUCUUGAGUGAAGUAGAGGUUGGCGGAAUUCCGAGUGUAGCGGUGAAAUGCGUAGAUAUUCGGAGGAACACCGGUGGCGAAGGCGGCCAACUGGGCUUUAACUGACGCUGAGGCUCGAAAGUGUGGGGAGCAAACAG
rnacentral:rRNA from 1 species